UUAGAGUUGGGCAGCAGAGAUGGCAGGAGAAGAAGCAGAUGGCUCACUGUGACAGAUGGAAUCCUAUCCAGUGACAUGGGACAAGGCUGAACCAAACCUUACGUCCCAUGGUAAGAGUCCAGAUGCACCAUCCAUGCAGGUCAGCCCCAGAGGCACAGAGCAGCGAAGAGCAAGUCAGAGGACAGCUCCGGAAGGGAUCACAGCUGCAGAAGAACCAGCCAACCAUGUAGUGCAACUGUCAGAUUUUUCCAACAAACCCCUCCUGAUGGG
rnacentral:lncRNA from 1 species